UAAAUUGGAAACUCUCCACAAGAGUUAAUUUCCACCUGGCUCCCACAAUAUCUUCUCGUGUGAGAACUCAGUUCUCACCCGCCAAAUCCUUUCAAGUUCACUCCCUCCACACAGACCCAAUGGAAUUCUUUCAUCCCCACCACCCAUGCUCAUGGCCAGUGCCAAACUCCUUCUUCCCUACCCCUUCACCACCAAACUCCCCGGCCCGCGCUACUCUCACCGGCGCUUCACCUGCUCCUCCGUCAUCGCCCAAUCCGGAUCCGCCAAGGAGCACCUCCUCGCCCUCAUCGCCGACCAGGACCGUGGCAUCAGGACCCAGAGCGACCCCGCGAAGCGCGCCGCAAUCGUCCAAGCCAUCGAUGCGGUGGCUUCCGCGGGCGCCGGCUCGGUGACCACCGGCGAUGCGCUGUCGGCGACGUGGCGGCUGCUGUGGACGACAGAGAAGGAGCAGCUCUUCAUCAUCGAGAAGGCUCCCUUGUUUGGAACCCGAGCCGGCGACGUGUUGCAGGUCAUCGAUGUUCGGGAAAGAACACUGAACAACGUCAUCUCGUUUCCACCUGAUGGCGUUUUCUUUGUUCGAUCAAGUAUUGAGGUUGCGUCACCGCAGAGAGUGAAUUUCAGAUUUACAAGUGCAGUAUUACGUGGGAAGAACUGGGAAAUACCAUUGCCACCAUUUGGACGGGGUUGGUUUGAUACUGUGUACCUCGAUGACGACCUUCGCGUUGUAAAGGAUAUCAGAGGAGACUAUUUAGUUGUUAACCGAGCUUCCUAUAACUGGAAAGAAUGUAUGGAAUCUUCAUCGUCAUUGUGGUCCUUCGUUGUUGUGUCCAUUUUGGUCGAGGCGCAUUGAUUACGGUGGUUCAUUGGUAAGUGGUGGUUGGUGUGGCUGUUAACGGCGAUAGAGGUAAGGAACUUGGUGUGCAUCAACAUGUUGAUUGUUCUGAUACCUUUAAUACUUCUCAGGAGUUUGCUACCCAUGAUGAUGUUUUGCAUUGGACUCUAUCUGUUGCGUAUGAUAUUGGUUUUGUGGCGGUGAUUAUGAGGUCAUACACAGAUACUCGAAUUAAAGGAAGGACCUCAUUUGUUUUAAUUGGUUGUGAAAGGAGUGUAAAAUAUAGGGUCAGGAAGAAAGAUUGAGUACGAACAGUUAAUGGUAGUAAAAAUUGUGUGUGUCACUUUAAGCUACGAGCGAAAUCAAUGUGGAAAGUGAAGGAUGGAUGGUGAAGUUAAUAUGUAGGAAUCAUAAUCAUGCAUUGACUAAGUCAUUAGUUGGACAUCCAUAUGUUGAUCGACUGACUAAGGAUGAGAAGAUUAUUAUUGCUAAUAUGACAAAGUCAAAGAAAUAUUCUUCUAACACUAAAGGAGCACAAUGCCAACAGUUAUAUAACAAUGAAACAAGUAUACAGUGCAAGAUAUGCAUAUCAUUCUUCUAUAAGAGGCAAUAAUACUGAAAUGCAACAACUAAUGAAGUUUCUUGAACAUGAUCAAUAUAUUCAUUGGCAUAGAUUGAAGGAUGAAGAUGUUGUACGUGAUAUAUUUUGGAGUCAUCCUGAUGCAGUGAAAUUAUCCAAUGCCUUUAAUUUGGUAUUUCUUAUAAAUUGUACCUACAAAACAAACAGGUAUAGGCUGCCAUUAUUUCACAUUGUUGGUGUCACACCAACAGGGAUGACAUUUUCAGUUGUUUUUGCCUAUUUGAAGGAAAAAUGUGUAAACAAUGUUGUUUGGGCUCUAGAAUGGUUUCGAGGUAUUUUUUUGAGACGUGAUGCACUCCCUGGAGUCUGUCAAUUUGUUGUGUCGGUUUCAUAUUGAUAAGAAUGUGAAGGGAAAAUGUAAAACCCUUGUUGCUAAAAAAAAUACAUGGGAUUAUGUCAUGAAAGCUUGGGGAAUUCUAGUCGGUUGUCCUUUUGAGCAAGAGUUCAAUGACUGUCUUAUGAAGUUUGAAAUUGCUUGCUCACAAUGAUCAAUGUUUAUUGACUACGUGAAGCAAACAUGGUUGAUUACCCAUAAAGAAAGAUUUGUUAAACCCUAGAUGAAUAAGGUGAUGCAUUUAGGAAACACAACAACUAACAGGUAUAAAAAAUUGUAAAUAUAUUUUGGUGUUAGGGUUUAGAGUCAAAUGGAUAAAAAUAAUUGUUUUUGUUUACUUGUUUGUAUAUUUGAAAUGCAAGGUUGAGUUUGCUCAUUAGGCCUUAAAAAGACUACUGCAAAAUAGCCUUGGAAACCUAUGUAGUGUUUGAGAAGCCAUGAACAACAUGAUCACGCUGCAACACAUUGAAAUUAAGGCAUCUUUUGAGACAAGUACACAUGCGGUUGAACAUGUUUUUAAAGUUACCUUAUACAAGAAAUUACUUGUAUACCAUAAAAUUGAUUUUCGACGAAAUGACAAAAAACAUAUAUGGUAGAAUUGUAACCAUAAAAUAUGACCCUAAUCGAAAUGCAUACAUUUGUCUCAUACACUAUGGGGAUGGU